rnacentral:rRNA from 1 species
UACAGAGGUCUCAAGCGUUGUUCGGAUUCAUUGGGCGUAAAGGGUGCGUAGGCGGCGCGGUAAGUCGGGUGUGAAAUCUCGGAGCUUACUCCGAAACUGCAUUCGAUACUGCCGUGCUUGAGGACUGGAGAGGAGACUGGAAUUUACGGUGUAGCGGUGAAAUGCGUAGAUAUCGUAAGGAAGACCAGUGGCGAAGGCGGGUCUCUGGACAGUUCCUGACGCUGAGGCACGAAGGUCAGGGGAGCAAACGGG